AAAGAACUUGGUUCUGAUUUUUAAAAUUAGAUAUAGAAAAAGUUAUAUAUGUAAGCUAUUUUAGCGAAACGGUGAGGAAAGUAUAUUGUUAAAAUAAUUUUUAAAAAAAAUUUAUUUUAUUUAAAUAUUAAUACUAAUUAUUUUUUAAAAAAAUAUAAUAAUUAUAAAAAUGCUUCACAUCUGCAGUAAUUAAUACUUAAACAAUAAUUGGAAGAUUAAUUAGGUUAGAUCUUAAUUGGGAAGACGAAGAUAUCGUGCCAGCAGUCGCGGUUAAACGAACCUUCUCUAUUUAAUUUAUUAGUAGCUUAGUGCAAUAAGAAUUUUACUAAAAAAGAUUUUUAAAAAGAAAAGUUUAGGAGUGAAAACCUAUUUUUUUUAGGAGAAUUAAAAUAAAGUUUGAUGUUGUUAAAUUAAAGGGGGAGACCUGGAUUAGAUACCCAGUUAUUCUUUAUUAAAACUGUGAAAUGCUGGUGGAGUAUAAAGAAUUUUUUUAAAUACAAAGAACUUGGCGGUUAUUUAUUUCUGAUCAGGGGAGCUUGCUUAAAGAAAAUGAUAAUCCACGUUAUACCUAACCUACUUUUGUAUUAUCAGUUUUUAUAUCAUCGUCAUUAAGUAUUCAUUGUGAGUUAGAAGACUAGGAAAACUAUAAUAAGAGUUAGAUGUCAGAUCGAGAUGAAGCUAAUAAGUAGGUGAAAGUGAGCUACAAUAAUUUUUAAUUAAAGUAUGGAGUUAAUAAUUAAAAAUAUUAAUAAAAAAGGACUUGAUAGUAAUAAAGUAGAAGAAAGAUUUUAUGAAGUUAGCUCUAGAUUUCGUACAUAUCGCCCGUCACCUGUGGGAUUAAACCUAGAGUAAGUCGUAACAUAGUAGGCGUACCGGAAGGUGUGGCCUAG
rnacentral:ncRNA from 1 species